rnacentral:rRNA from 1 species
GAUGAACGCUGGCGGCGUGCCUAAUACAUGCAAGUCGAGCGAACGGACGUGAAGCUUGCUUUUCUGAUGUUAGCGGCGGACGGGUGAGUAACACGUGGGUAACCUACCUAUAAGACUGGGAUAACUUCGGGAAACCGGCGCUAAUACCGGAUAAUAUUUUGAACCACAUGGUUCAAAAGUGAAAGACGGUCUUGCUGUCACUUAUAGAUGGAUCCGCGCUGCGUUACCUAGUUGGUAAGGUAACGCCUUACCAAGGCAACGAUACAUAGCCAACCUAAGAGGGUGAUCGGCCACACGGGAACUGGGACACGGGCCAGACUCCGACGGUAGGCAGCAGUAGGGAAUCUUCCGCAAUGGGGGAAAGCAUAACGGGGCAACGCCGCGUGGGUGAUGAAGGUUUUGGAUUCGUAAAACUCUGUUGUAAGGGAAAAACAUAUGGGUAAGGAACUGUGCACAUCGUGACGGUACCUAAUCAGAAAGCCACGGCUAACUACGUG